CGCCGCCGCCACAACAUAUCUAGGGUUUCGAGAGGGAGAGAUCAGCGCCAUGUCGAGGGGCGUGAGAUCGGAGGGGCUGGCGUGGUCUUCCUCCGAGUUGCUGAAGUUGCGCGACGAGCUUGAGGAGCAGGUGCCGGGUGACGGCGCCAUGUGCCGCGUUGGCAUCACCGAGCGCCCCCACAAACCCGAGCGAGCGGUGGCGGUAGGUACAACUGCACUGUACUUCCAUGUCAUGGUAGUAGGAACAACUGUUCAGAGUUGAGGCAGCGUUGCCUAUCUUUUCACUACGGUAUUAAAACCAACAUCUUCCUACCCUGACUCCCUUGCUUUGCCAUUCUGAAUCCUCGGUUGCUUGCUGGUGUUCCUCUCCUAUUUGUGAGUGUCUUCCUUCUCCACCUUUUCCUUUCUUCUGAUCUUAUGAUUCCAUUUUUUUCUUUACUCACCAUUGUGAAGCAACAUCUUACAUGAUCAGUAGCAGGUCACUAUUGAUUAGAGGCUUUCUGAAUGAGCAGUAAAUUACAGCAUUGAGGAACAUACUACAGGAAAGAGGAGAUAUGGAGGAGGGGAAUCAGGUUUUGUACAGGGAUGCAUACCUGGGAGAAGUUCAGAGAAAUGCAAGGACACUGGAAAAAAUCAGAUUUCUAAUGGUUGCUACUCUCUGUUGACUUGAUCAAAAUUUCCCUGUUUCAGCAAUCAAGAGGAUCUUGGAAGUUGCAUAUUGUGAUCGAGGAGCAGUGAAUGUAAUUUCUCAGGGGAGCAGCAACUUUAUGUUUAUAUUCUCCAAUGACCUUGAUGCAACAAAUGCUUAUGCAGAGCUACAUGACAAGGUCAUAGGUGACUUUCUAGGACCAAUAUUGCGGUUCAAGAUAUGGCACCCAGCAGAUGAAUUUGGAUAUGAUGUUGCUGAUCAUCAUGGCUACAUCUCUAUACAAGGGUUACCUCUCCACCUAUGGAAGAAGGAUGUCGAGGAACACAUCUUGCAUCCUUAUUGUGCUGUCAGUGAAGCUGUGGAUCAUACAAAGACUAGGAGUGACCUUUCAACCUAUGCAUGCUUUGGUUGGAGUCAACAGAAAGUUGCAAUUCCAAAGAUCAUCUCUUUAAAGGUUGUCAAGAAAAUUGCUGUAGUGCAGCAGCAGCAGUUCAAGGAGGUUGCUACCUACAAUAUGAUAAUAGAAGCGGCUGGAUUUCUGUGCGACCAAACAACAUACUGCUUCUGCAACCUCGACAACAUAAAUACCAGAUACUAGACUAUAUGAUCCUGAUGACGCCUAGUCAUUUAUCACUGAGGUGGACAGCAAUCAAGAUCUGCUAGAGGAAGUCAGCUAUGGAAUUCUUGCUACUGCAUCCACAGAUAACCAUGGAUAUGGGCAGAGAGAAAUGCAGGAAAUAGCAUCAAGCUAUCUCGAAUCCUAUGUGAAGGUUCACAAAAUUAGCAAGACACAGUUUAUCAUGCUGCCAUCAGAUAAGUGUGCUGCUCCAAUUGUCAGUGGAGUUCUUCUCCAAAUAUCUGAAUUUAAAUUCCCAGCAGUAACUUUCAGUCUAGAUCGAUGGAGCGACAGUAAUAUGUCUGUUUUAGAGACCUUGCAGUUCAAAAUUGAUGUUACUUUAAAUUGGAUUCCAGCUCACCUAUGUGUACCAAAAAAUUUUGGUUUUCCUUUAAGACCAUAUUGUUCUAUGGAGGUGUAUGAUGGUCCUCAGCCUAUUCUGACAACAUGUGAGAAAUUUAAAUGCACUGCUUGGACAAACGAUGUCAAGAAUUUGCCAAAGAGGAUAAUGACUGCUCUGUUGAGCAAAUCACCGGAGAGAAUUAUACAUCGACAGAUCUUAGAACAACACAGAUACUUAUCGAUGUUGUUAUUUCAUAUAGGAAUGAAAUUGGCAAUCUUCCAAUAUUCAAUAAUUGAGCUGGGGAACGUUGUUCUGAAAAUACAAGGAUCUUUUGUAGGGAUAUGCCAAUUAUGAACAGGCAAGUAGAACUGUCAAUGGCAACUUGGCUCCAUGGCUUAACAUCAUUUGGCGAAGCAAGUGUUCGGAAAUUCAUUUUGAUGGAAUGACUGGCGGCUUGAGUUAACAGCUCACUAUCAUCUACUGAAAGCAGAAUUCACGUGUUGAUUUUGACGGAGCGACUGCAGUUUCCUCGACAGCUAUGGCUUUUGUUUCAUUGACUCUCUAGAUGCCUGUUCUUGGAGUUUAGGAAAGAGUUAUGUGUUUUCGACAAUAUUGUCCACUGUGUUGGCAGGUACCAGUAUCCUGAGACAAAGAAUGAGUAACGGUCCAAUAUGCCUUUUUCAUAUGUUAUCAAUUUUUCUGCUUUACAAACAU